rnacentral:tRNA from 1 species
AGGUCCGUGGCUCAGUUGGUAGAGCGGCCCCCUCGCCGGGGCAGGUCAGGGGUUCAAGUCCCCUCGGACCGC